CUGUAAUUCAGUGGUUGUCGUUUGUUUAUUUGUUACAUAUUUGUUUUUCGUUCAUUUUUUUUACAUAAAUAAGGCCGUUAGUUUUCUCGUUUGAAUUGUUUUACAUUGUCUUAUCGGGGCCUUUUAUAGCUAACUAUGCGGUAUAGGCUUUGCUCAUUGUUGAAGGCCGUACGGUGACCUAUAGUUGUUAAUGUCUGUGUCAUUUUGGUCUUUUGUGGAUAGUUGUCUCAUUGGCAAUCAUACCACAUCUUCUUUUUAUAUUUGU
rnacentral:lncRNA from 1 species